AGCGCAGGAAUGUGAAAGGCUCCCGCCCGCCGCCAUUUUCUUUCUUUCUUGGCAGGCAGCGAGCGGGGCAGGAAGCAGUGGCGGAGCGAGUAUGGCGGACUAUUCCACGGUGCCCCCUCCUGCUUCGGGCGCCCCCGGGGGAGGCGGUGGUGGAGGUGGAGGAGUGAACGAUGCCUUUAAAGACGCGCUGCAGAGAGCUAGGCAGAUUGCAGCAAAAAUUGGAGGAGAUGCUGGUACAUCCAUGAAUUCCAAUGACUACGGUUAUGGAGGACAAAAAAGACCUCUCGAGGAUGGAGAUGGCUCUUGGACAAGUCCGAGCAGUACAACACACUGGGAGGGAAUGCCCUCUCCUUUUAAAGAUCAACCAGAUGCUAAGAAAGUUGCUCCUCAGAAUGACUCUUUUGGAAAUCAGCUACCACCAAUGCAUCAACAACAAAGGUCUGUGAUGACAGAGGAGUACAAAGUUCCAGAUGGAAUGGUUGGAUUUAUCAUCGGCAGAGGCGGAGAGCAGAUCUCACGCAUACAGCAAGAGUCAGGAUGUAAAAUACAGAUUGCACCUGAUAGUGGGGGCCUGCCUGAAAGAUCAUGCAUGCUAACUGGAACCCCAGAAUCUGUUCAAUCAGCGAAAAGAUUACUUGAUCAAAUAGUUGAAAAGGGAAGACCGGCACCUGGUUUUCAUCAUGGUGAUGGACCUGGAAACGCAGUCCAAGAAAUUAUGAUUCCAGCAAGUAAAGCAGGAUUAGUUAUUGGUAAAGGUGGAGAGACGAUUAAGCAAUUACAGGAGCGAGCAGGUGUCAAAAUGGUUAUGAUUCAAGAUGGUCCACAGAACACUGGUGCUGACAAGCCCCUUAGAAUAACUGGAGACCCUUAUAAAGUUCAACAAGCCAAGGAAAUGGUGCUGGAGUUAAUUCGUGAUCAAGGUGGCUUUAGAGAGGUGCGCAACGAAUAUGGGUCAAGAAUAGGAGGAAAUGAAGGGAUAGACGUUCCAAUACCACGGUUUGCUGUAGGUAUUGUAAUUGGAAGAAAUGGAGAGAUGAUAAAAAAGAUACAGAAUGAUGCUGGUGUUAGGAUCCAAUUUAAGCCAGAUGAUGGAACAACUCCAGAUAGAAUAGCCCAGAUCACGGGGCCUCCUGACAGAUGUCAGCACGCUGCAGAAAUUAUUACAGAUCUCCUUCGAAGUGUUCAGGCUGGUAACCCUGGUGGACCAGGAGGACCUGGUGGUCGAGGAAGGGGUAGAGGUCAAGGCAACUGGAACAUGGGGCCCCCUGGUGGAUUACAGGAAUUCAAUUUUAUUGUUCCCACUGGCAAAACUGGAUUAAUCAUUGGCAAAGGUGGUGAAACUAUUAAAAGCAUAAGCCAACAGUCUGGUGCUAGAAUAGAACUUCAAAGAAAUCCUCCACCUAAUGCAGACCCAAACAUGAAGAUGUUUACUAUCCGUGGAACGCCCCAGCAAAUAGAUUAUGCACGGCAACUUAUAGAAGAGAAGAUUGGAGGUCCGGUAAAUCCAUUGGGUCCACCUGUUCCCCAUGGACCCCAUGGUGUUGUUCCUGGCCCACAUGGACCUCCUGGGCCACCAGGCCCUGGUGCUCCCAUGGGACCAUAUAACCCAGCUCCUUAUAAUCCAGGGCCUCCUGGCCCAGCACCUCAUGGUCCUCCAGCUCCGUAUGCUCCACAAGGGUGGGGAAAUGCUUAUCCACACUGGCAGCCACCAAAUCCACCAGAUCCAGGAAAGCCAGGAACAGAUCCUAAUUCAGCAGCAUGGGCAGCUUACUAUGCUCACUACUAUCAGCAGCAAGCACAGCCACCACCUGCAGCCCCUCCUGGUGGACCAGCUACAACCCAAACCAACGGGCAAGGAGAUCAGCCAAACCCAGCACCAGCAGGGCAGGUUGACUACACAAAGGCAUGGGAGGAAUACUACAAAAAAAUGGGUCAAGCAGUUCCUGCACCUGCUGGAGCUCCGCCAGGUGGUCAGCCGGAUUACAGCGCAGCAUGGGCUGAGUACUACAGGCAGCAGGCAGCAUACUAUGCCCAGACAAGUCCCCAGGGAAUGCCGCAACAUCCUCCAGCACCACAGUGCCUUCCCAGACCUUCCACCUUAGGUUCUGCUGCAAAAAAGCAACAGACAUUUAAUCAUCACUGAAGAAAGGGAAGUGAGAUAAUUCAUUAUUUCUUAUCUCCAGUAAACAUUAUCUGCUAAGAGAAACCCAUUGUUUGCAAACUGCAACGAAGAACAAAAGAAUGAACCGUCUUCAGAACAUAUCAUGGAGUACCUCAUUUGUUAAUGGUGGAAAUUGACUGGGAACUGUCAAGAGUAUUAAUACUCCAGCUAUCUGCGGACUGCAAGCAAGCCUGAGAAACUCAUCCAGUGACUUUAUGGUGUAAAGGGUCAAGAUCCCGGCUUGCAGGAAUCUGAUACUGAUAAAGGUAAUGAACACAUCUUUGCCAGUACUUAAGUAAGAGAAGUACCUACUUUGCAGUAUUACGUUUUCCAUCUUUUUAGUGCAAUGACUGCCGAAAUGUUGUCAGUACAGUUAUGCUGAGAAAACUAGCUGAAAGAAAGUUCGUUUCAUAUUUUCCACCUAAACCAACAGCAGAUACUGUAAUGAUGUUUUGCUUUUGUUCCUGCCACUCAGUGUAUCAUGGCAUAAGAAGAAAUAUUUUAAGUAGACUGAAUUUCCCCUCACAUUAAGAAUUUCAUCAUAUUUUGUUAACUUAAUUUUGCAUUCUUCAUACAUUUUUAAUACCAAUAAGAACAUUUCCCACAUUUUAUCAAGCCAGAUGACCUUCCUUAAGCUACUCUCAAGUAUCCUCCUAUGACUUACGGUAUAAUUGUAUUUUACAAUUGUUUCUAACUGCCCUAAUUACAAGCAUCAGAUGUAAAUUACUAUAUUACUUUGAUUACUUUAAAAUUGGUACAUACCUCAGUUUUCUGUGCAAUGUCAUUCAUGGUUACGGUAUUCUGCUCUGCACCUGGUAUGUUUAAGAUUGCUUUCAGUUUCUACCUGAAAGAAACAGUUCUAGUUAUAUUCCUUUCUUUUCCUUUUAAAUGAUGCUUUGACCGUCUUCCUGUAAAUAAGUUUGCAUGGGCUGAAACUGAUGUAUCACAAUUUCAUUUGGUCCUUUGAGGCUUACAAAGAAAUGAAUAGGUUCUAAGUAUGCAACAGUAAUUAAAAGAACAAGCUUAUGAUUCACUAUUCAUGCUCAUACCCCCCUGCAUAGUCCCAGAUAUUGGUUUUUAAUUUCCAUUUUAAAAAGAAAGUCAGAGCUCUCAGCCAAGCUCUGGCUGCCCUGGCUGGCUGUUACGAAACUGUUUUUCUCAAUACUGUGCUAGCAGAAAGGAAUGUGCUCUGCACCUCUGCUGCUCCGCUUCAGGCUGAGGUCUGAGCCAGCAAGCUAAGGUUGCAAGAAGUCUGCAGAACACUUGGGCCAAACACAGCCUGCUGGAGAUGCUGCCUUGCCUUUGUACAGCUUUGGUAGAGAAGCAGGAUGAUCAUCAUGGCUGAUGUCUAUGAAAAUCAAAUUUAUUUGAAUAGAACCAUAAGGAUUAUUAUCACAAGAAACAUGCCAAUGGCUCAAUUACACCUUCAGUAUUUUUUGGCAGUGUGGAACAGAGUCUGUUUUGCUUUAAUGUAUGACAGCUGAUUCCUGACUCCCUGUUUCCUGCUACAUCCAGGAAAGCCCCAACUUUGCAGUGAGGUCAGUAUGAGUUCCAAACUCUUCCUAUGCACAGUACACUGUUGAACUGACAUCCCGCACCAGCCAGUGUUAGGCACGUACAAGACUUACAAAUAUUACAAUUCUCUGAAAUAAUUACAAAAAGAAUUUGUCACAUGAGUAUCAUCUAAAUUUAGAUAUAUUGAUAUAGAAAUGACACUUCCUUGAAAAAUUAAAAAGAAUGCAUUUUAUGAAUACUACUCUUUGUCUGUAGUAUCUAUCAGAGAGAAAAAAAGAGAAAAAAAGAAAGAGAAAAUGCUCAAAAUGAGCCAGGCUAGUUGUUCAUUUUUCCAAAAGAAAAUAGAAAAAUAUGCAAAACAGAGAAAAUACAUUGCAAUCCCAAUGAUGUAAGGGAUGAAGGCACUUUGAUUCUUUUUUUUUGUUACAUUUUUCCCCUCAAAAUAAGAUGGGAAUGGCAGGGAACGUUAUGUUUAAUUAAGUUCCUACUUAGUUUCAAAUUAGCUAUAGCAUAUUACAAUUCUGUUGUGUCUAAAAAGGCAGAUAACUUUACAGGCAUUCUUGAUCUUAAGGUCCCUAUAUGCAAUGGACAUCCAACCUUUUGGCUUGCCUGGGCUGCACUGAGUGAAGAGGGAAUUGUCUUGGGCCUUAUAUAUAUGUUGGUUGCUCCAAAAGAAAUGCCUCCUGUUUAUCUCCAUGAAAACAACAACCAAUACAAAGAGCACAGUAACACUGUUUGAUGGAACAAAUUCUCAGCUACAAAAUGCUAUUUUUCAGCAUAGUCACCACCAUUAGCUGUGCAGUUUUGCCAGUGAUGAACAAUACCCUGCAUGCUGAGGUCAUAAAAAUCUGCACCAGCAGAGGUGAUCCACUGUUGUUACAACCACUGUUGCACUGCACCAUCCACCGCCUCACUGUACCAACAUCCACUGUUUGGUCUCCAUCAACAUGCAGCUAGUGUCAGUGAGUGCCAUUUUUUCCACAUGGAAGAUUACAGUUACGCACAUUGGCUUCAUCCACACUUCCAGGUCAGAGGCUGUUUGGUCAGACUGCUCCUCUGCUGCCAUCUGUCAUGCAGCAACAGCAUGUUACAGAACAUUGGUGGGAAGAUUCAGCCUCUCCUGCCAUCCCACCAACAUCUGCCUCUGACGUCAUGGGCCAAUGUGAUAAAAUAGAACGCAUUACUUUCAGAGCAGCCGUCAUAAAAUAUAUGUUUUAUAUAUAAAAAGUAACAAAACUUAUUUUAAUUUUUUAAUGCUUUUUAAUAAAACAUAAAAAAGAGAGCUACAAAACUAUAAAACUAGUGAGAUAUGUGACCUUGUUUUUGUGAAACUUAACGCAUCAGCCUGGUUUGAUGGCAUGGCUGCAAUUCUUAGUGAGCUCUCAAGGUGUUCAUCAGAGAUGAUCGGUGAAAUUUUACUCUUCCUGUGUUUCAUCCUUCAAAACAGUUGCUCACAAAUAUACGUACUGCCUAAAGGUGAUGGCACGAGGAAGGCGUGACUGUGAAGUGAGGGGUAUCUCUCUCUGGUAAGAGAGGGAUUAUAAAAUUCUGGUAAAGAGACAAGAUUGAACUUUUUAUUGCAACUCUAUACAUUACUUGUGAAUUUUCAAAUGGAAUAUAUUUAUGUUGACUGAAAAUGGACUUACAAAUAAAAAAAAUUUUUUUUUUAAUUUUAAUUUUUUUUUUUUUUUUUUUUUUGCAAUCUUGAAACCUGUUCUCAAAUUCCUGUAUCAAAAUGGAAGGCAUGGCUGCGUAUUUUUCGAGGCUCACAGGACUGUGUUCAGCCAGUGUAUCCAAAUCCACACACAUAUAUUCCGUAACGUGAGCUGGCACUGCACUGCACCCCAUGUCCUGCUUUCAGCACAAGAAAGCAGGUUAGAUGUGCCUGCUAUAUGCGUUAAUGUACAUUUGUGUACUGUGCUGUUGAGUUUGGAUGUUUUAAGAGUUUAUCUUACUUCACGUGUAUAAGUGAUAUCCCAUAAUAAUCAGUAUGACUUAAAACUAAGACCCUUUGACUUCCUCAUUCUCCUGUGCAGGUCUGAGAGAAGCCUUAAUACAGGGCUGGAGCGGAAAAGUAAGUCCCAAAGUUAACCUCUUAUGAGAAAUGACUCCAUUUCACUUAAAAUACUCCUGUGAGGAUCAUUGCUGACCUUCACCAUAACAGCAUAACCCAUCCAUAGGGCUUCAUCUUGAAGUCACUUGAAAACCAUGGCUGAUUGAAAACCUACUAUGUGGAAUUAAUCACACAAAGCAGAUUCUGAGUAUGAAAACACAAUUUAGCUUUUGACCUUCUGGAUCAACUUUUUUGAUGGCCCUAAGUACCUGAAGCCUUUGGCAGUGUCACUGAGAUUGCUGGCAGCAGUGAGACCUACUUUCAAAAAACAAAUCGGAAAUUUUCUAAAAAAGCACAAGUAAUGGAAGAAGUAUUCCUUAUCAUAGAAUGCCCUGAGCUGGAAAGGACUCAUAAAGAUUGAGUCCAGCUCCUGGCUCCACAUGUAACCAGCAGAAUUCAAACCCUACGUCUGAGAGCAAUGUCCAAAUGCUUCUUGAACUCCAUCAGGCUUGGGGCCAUGCCCAAAGCCCCCUGGUGCAGACCUUUCCCUAACCCCCAGCUGCUCCUCCUCUGUCACAGCUCCAUGCUGUUCCCUCAGGCCCUACCAUUGCUACAGCAAGCAGAGCUCAGCACUGCCCUCCUCUCCCUGUGAGGAGCUGUAUGCCAUGAGGCCUGUCCUCAGUUCUGCACUGAACAAACCACAGGAUCUCAUUUGCUCCUCAUAUAUCUUGCCCUGCAGACCCUUCACUAUCUUCACAAAGCUCCUUUGGAUGCUUUCUAAUACUUUUACAUCCUUAUAUUGUGGUGACCAAACAUGCACACAGUGCUUGAGGUGAGGACACAUCAGUGUGGAGAGGAGUGGGACAAUCCCUUCCUUUACCCUCUGUCAGUGCUGGGCCUGGUGCACCACAGCCUUGUAAAUUCCCACUCUUUGAACUUCCAAAAAUGUGCCGGUCUAACUUGUCGUGGUCCUUCAAGAUGGUAGAUUCACCUCUGCCAUUUGGAAUACUGCCACAUCUCCUCUUACUUUCCAAUCCUUUGGCAUCACCUAACUGUUAAUGUGCUUGAAGGUUAGCCAGCUGGCUCCAACACGCUUCGCAGCUGUAAGUCAUCCUGCCUCCACCUUUGAUGCUAACAGAUAUGGAUGUAAAGCAGUAGGUCCUCACUACACAUGAUACAGCCCAUGUUUGCCCCCUCAUCCCUCUUCAUACCAGUUAUACCUCAAACAUGAACAGCAGCAGGACCUUGCCUCAGGGACCCCUCAAGUGGCUUCCUUCAAGGUCAGGAAGUCCUAAAGCCUACAAAUUGCAGAAGAAUAGUUCCCUCAUCACCUACUGAUAGCUUUGCAGAAAGCACGUGCUAAUUUUCCAACCCUAGAAACUUUGACGUGCUAUUUUCUAACAGUAGCAACUUUUAAGUAAGAUACUAUUUAAUACAAGCAAUGCUUAUUCUUUAGGGCAACAAGGAUCUACUUGUGUGUACUUACUUCAGAAGACAUUUGUCCUUCUAUUAUGAAGUUGUCCAAAAACUUAAGAUUCACUCUAGUCUUUUAUUUCCUGAGAUCAACAUAUCUGAAGAAAAGUCAUAGAAGCUCCUCAACAAAGACUUCCACUUCAAAAAUCCCAAGAUUACAAUGUUGAGCAUAGCUGACCAAAAAGCGGUGGCUUUUCUUUGCUCAUCCAGUCUCAUCACCUCAGCACUCACAUCACACCGCUCACAUCAUUUUUUUUCUCUCAUUUUACCUCCCUAAGCUUAAGAUAUAUCUCAGGAAAUGUUAAGUCUGGCAUUUUCGUGUUUAUACUGAAAGUCCUAGAUUGCAGUUCCAUCUUCAGAAGAGGUCUUCAUCAAGAUUUUUCCAGAAGGAAAACUUAACUUCCAGCAUUUGACCCAUGGUCUUACAUUUGGAAUUGUGUGGAAGAGAAAGCACCAUUAUGAGCAUGGCUUGACUGGAUGAAUGCAAAGCCAUCUCUCGAAAGUUUCAUGUCAAAAUUUAGUACAAAACCAAUAACGUGUAGAAAACUAGGCAACAGAUCAGAAAUACUCUGGGAACUUCACAGAGAAAAACAAUGUGUCUGUUUUCAAGCAUGUUAUUUGCAUACUCUUAAUGGUUAUGCCGUCAGCUCUGGUGAUAUGUCUUGAUUUGUUAUGAUUGUUGCACUUCAGCUUUUCACACAGACCUCCUAAAACCUUACUCCAGGCAAAACAUUCUAAAACUGAACAAAUUAAAACCAUUAAGGGGACACAAGAGGUUUGAUAGCUCCUAAGUCCUGAAAUCUACCUCCUUAAACAUGAUGUAUUUUUAUUUCGGUGCAGUAAUUAACAUCCUCACGUGAGAGAUGCAGAGAAAUACAAGUGUUUUACUACUCUUACGAAUAGGAGUACGAAGCCAGGACUUAAAAUAACCAUCAAGUUGCUCUGUGAUUCCUCCUUUCAGGAGGCCCCCCUGCCGUCUUCCUGGCUACUGUGAGUUAUAAAUAAGCCCUCUGCAGCACGGUCUGAGUUACGGUUACCAUCUGUCUCUCUUUGUGAUCCACUUGCAGGGAAGACUCCAUUAUAUAAGAAAACCAUAUUGUGAGACUUGGAAACUUAGCACUUGCAGCCAAAGCACUUAAGAGAGGAAAACACAGUCCGUAAUGCUAAAGUAUUUAAAGAAGGAUUAAAUAGAACUGGAAAGGGGAGGGGAAGGUGAGCAAGGCUCACCAUUUCUGUCCUUACUGCAACUUCUCUGGUAUGACACGACCAGUUGUUGUACUAAGUUACAGAUACUAAAGUAGAUUCUAAAAUUAUCGGGCACAGGGGAAGGUCCUGAGCUGGUAUAAACUGUCAGCUCCUCUGCAGCCAACGAACUAUGACAAUUAACACCAGCUGCCCAACCAUUACUUUUUGUAGAAUACAAAACUACUUCCAUUCAGCUGCAUUGCAUUCAUGAAGUCUUUAAUAGUAAAUUAGGACCUACCAAAAACUGACCCAGGUAGCUCAACUUCAUCUACAGUCUUUUCCUCCCUCUUUCAAUUUAUUGCACUUCAAGUCUUCUGUUACUGCAGAAUGGCCUUUGCAGAUAUGAUGCUGUUUAUAAAAAUCUACUUAGUAGAAGCUAUUUUGAAUAUGUUUAUACAACUCUGAAUACUCUUAAUGUGACGGUGCCACGCAGCCCAGCUGCUGUGUUAGAAAAAUAAACUCGCCCCUCUCUGUGGAAGAGGUCUGCCCCUUUAUUCCUUGGUCCCUUCAGUUGCUGUCAUGGGGUAGGCAUACUCCAGAACAAAGUGGGGCCCAGUGAAGCACUGGUGAGAUCUUCAGGCCCACGGUUCCAUGUUCCAAGACACCUGCUGACCCUGAUUACGAGGUGCAGUAAAUUGUGAAGUCAGAUCCCCGAGAGAAAAAUGCAUGUUUUGCCCCAUGCCAAAGUUCCUCCAGUCCCUGCCGUGUCCCGGAAGCUGAAGAGAAACCCUAAGAUUUGAGCUCAAUUCCUGCUGUCGUCACUGACAGACUUGAAGAGCGGGCACUGAACUGUGGGACAAAACGCUGCCAUGAGGUACGGCUGCUGUUUGCCUCUUCCCAUCUCAGAUGACAGCACACAGCCUACGUGCUGCUUGUCUGACACAUGGAUCCUUCACCGCAUGGAGUGAUCCACUGACCAUCUCCACUCUACUGAGCGCUGGGGCCGAUGUCUGAGGGCAGUGCCUCCCUCAAGGACAGGGCCACCGCAGCGCACAGCAGGGCUCACCCUGAGCAGCUCCACCUCAGCUUUCCCAUCUCAUUUCCAGCUCGGCUGUGGCUCCGUUCCUUGCUAAGAGCGCUACAAAGCGGAACGUCCAUGCGCUGUAAGUUACGGAUUAUCUGACAGAGGAAAACACCCAUGGACAGCAUUCCAGACACGGCUGGAGAAAGCAUUUCUUGGGGAUAUGCCCUGAACUGUCUGCCCACUUCUUGCAUUUCGACGAGGGUUUUCUGCACAUACCAGAUGCGUUCCCAUGUUGAAAGUUCACAUAAAUAGAAGCUGAAGUCUGAAAGAAAUAUCUAUUGUUGAUGCCUCUCUGCAACCAGAUGCUGUAACUCCUAUUCUGGAUGGGAAACAUCAGCCUCAUUUCUGACCUGAUUCUACGGACUUCUGAGAGCUCUGCGAUGUCAUGGAAGCAUUCCUGACCUAAAGGGAUACAUUUGUUUGAACCAAAAAUACCAGGUACUUAACCAUUUUCUAAAUAUUUUGGCAUAACAUAUUGUUUUUUUUUUGUUUUGUUUUAAAUCCUUUUAUUUCUGACAGAAGACCACAGAACUAAAUCCUUCGGAAACAGUCUCAUAUCAGCACUGUUGAAUAACAUUUGGGCUGUACUCUCUUCAGGAGUAUUUUAUAUAAAUACAAGGAUUGAUGUUUACUACCGUAAAAAUGUGUAUUUCUGCUUUUCUGUGAUGAAUGCUACGGUAUCAUUUUCUCAACAUUUUAUUGGACCAGACAAACCACAGCUUCCUGUGACACACUCAGUGCUCAGGUGGUACAUGUGAUGUGGAAUACGCCAUUUACUCUCUUACUGAUUCUGAAUACAGUUUGACACCUUACAGUUCAGUAUCACUCCAUUCACAGACUGCAGAAAGCUGCCAACAUACAGGAAUUUUUGAGCACUACGACAAGAGGGGAUAAGUAUGCUUAAGAUAAAUGAGAAGGGUGACACAAACUUCACAUUCUGGUAUUGCAGAUAUUAUCCACUGAGAAAAAAAGUAUAGCAGAGUACCAAGCUCAGCAACCUGAAUGGUGGAAACAGGGCAACAGCAGCAUUUGGAACUUCCAUUUUAUUACACAUGGAAUUAUACUCUUUUUUUUUUUUUUUUAAUAUAAUCAGUUGGCAUUCACACAAGUCAUAUGACACUUUUUCAUAGUCUUUAUCAAAUGAACACGACAAAAUGUUGGCUUCAGUAAAACCUAUGGAAACACACAGGUCCUCAUCUUCAAGUACCAUCAGUUUGGGCUAUGUGUGCAACAGUAGUUGAAAUGUUUCUAAUCAAAGUUUGCUUCAAUAUGCUACAUUACAACAACAUGCUCCUGAAUAGCUAAAUUAUUAGAAUUAGUCUGUAAAUAGUCUUAUUACUUACUUAACACAGGCUGGAUUCUUGUAGGCAGGCUUUCUGUGGCCAAGAAUACAUCAAGGUAGUUUAAAAGCUAACUAGGAAACCUUGUUUCAGUUUAUAGGAAUUCAAGACUAUAGAUCAUUAUUAGCUCUUGCACACUCAAAAUGUUGCUGCACGUUUCCUCAUGCCUCAUUAAUGUGUUGCCUCCUACACAAAGUUAAGGUUUCCAUGUCCUGAGCCACCACACUUUUGCAUGUGAACAUUUAUGGCCAAAAUCACCACAUUUCCUCCUUGAAUAGAUAAUUGACCUCCUUACAAGGAAGGCAGGAAGACGUAAAUGCUUUUAAUUACAAAACACUGCCCUUGAUUCUGCUUCAUGAUUAAAAAAUUAUCAUGAUUUAAAAAUGUAUUUUGAAAUGCUACAUAAGAACUAAGAAUUAUAUCCACCACCACCAUUUAAAGUCUCUACAGUUAAAAAAAAAAACAAAACUGGUGAAACUAGCAUAGCUGUUUGGAUAUAAAAAGUGGUCUCAUACAAACACCUUCAUGAUUAUUAGAAUUCACAGAAAAAAUAAAGCAAAAAAUGCAUACUGGAAGUCGUUACUGCCCAAAUGGUGCCUGCAUCACUCUUAUUAUACUGUAGUACAAAACGACUGCUUACAUCCACACACACAUAACUUCAGGGCAGCGGCAACAUGUUCAGUUUUGUGACUGUGAUUACUUUACUGCACGCAUCACAUGAAUUAGAGACUGUAUAACUGUAUACACCCCCAUUGAAACACCUCCUUGGUCUAGACACAUCAUGACUUUGAGACUCUGUAGUGAACAUUUUGUACUAUAAACCUUUACAUGAGACACAUCCAUCAGCUCCACUUACAAAUUAUCUGUGGCAAAAGUACAGUAUUUCAUAAA